rnacentral:tRNA from 1 species
CAGGGUAAAGCUUAGUAGUGUAGUAUGUGUUUGGCAUUCAUGAGGCCCUGGGUUCAAUGCCCAGUACUUUGC